UACGGCCACAUCACGUUAAAACACCAGUUUCCGUACGAUCACCGAAGUUAAGCAACGUCAAACCUGGUCAGUACUUAGAUGGAUGAACACUUGGAAAU